AUUGGGAUUGCUGGGUCAUAUGGUAAUUCUAUGUUCAACUUUUUGAGUAACUGCCAAACUGUUUUCCACAGUGGCUAUUCCAUUUUGCACUCCCACCAGCAAU
rnacentral:pre_miRNA from 1 species